AUUGAACGCUGGCGGCAGGCCUAACACAUGCAAGUCGGGCGAGCGGAGGACGGGUGAGUAAUGUAUGGGGAUCUGCCUGAUCGCGGGGUAUAACUACUGGAAACGGUAGCUAAUAGCGCAUACUAUCAGAUGAACCCAAUUGGGUUUAGCUUGUAGGUGAGGUAACGGCUCACCUAGGCGACGAUCCCUAGCCGGUCUGCGAGGUUCAUCGGCCACACUGGGACGGAGACACGGCCCAGACUCCUACGGGAGGCAGCAGUGGGGAAUAUUGGACAAGGGGUGCAAGCCUGAUGCAGCAAGGCCGCGUGUAUGAAGAAGGCCUUCGGGUUGUAAAGGUCUUUCAGUCGAGAGGCGUUACCGACAGAGGAGGCACCGGCUAACUCCGUGCCAGCAGCCGCGGUAAUAC
rnacentral:rRNA from 1 species